CGGUGUAUAGCGCAGCUCGGUAGCGCACCUGCCUUGGGAGCAGGGGGUCGCAGGUUCAAAUCCUGCUACACCGACCA
rnacentral:tRNA from 5 species